CAAAUUGCCAGGACUUGCUUAAUAACUACAGAUUCCCAAAUUUGGUUCCUGCUUUAAACUUAGCACCACUGUAGGACCAGCCAGAGAAAGUGAACGAUUCACCCCUAACUAAUCAACUAGGAUGCCCCACUCUGAGUAGCCACUUCCAGCUUCCCCGUGUCAAUAGCCUCCAAUCAAGUUAAUUGUGGAGGCCCCAAUGAAACCAGUCUGCGCUGUCCAUUGCUGUGGGUCCUGGCUUUCAACAAGGUGUGAUACCCACAGAUGCCCUGUGCCCCCACUGCUCAUGGCUCGUUCAGCCCCUGAAGAUGUGUGGGGAAAAAAAAAAGGAAAGAAAAAGUCGCAAGUGGAAACGGCUUCCCCGGAGCAAGUGCCCGAAGGAACAAGAGAGGGCAGUCCAAGACCGAAACCACAGGUCUUUUGUCGCCUACUCUCAGAAGUGACAUCCUACCACUUUCCUAUGUUCUAUUCUUAGAAACAAGUCACUUAGUCCCGCCCACAUUCAGGGAACCAUAUUACACAAAAUGUAAACACCAAGAUGCAAGGAUAUUGGAGUCCAUCUUAGAGGCUUCCCACCACACAUAGUGUAGUGACUGAUGUUCUUAAUACCCAUUCAAUAAAUUAUUUUAUAUUAUUCUUUCUUCCCUUUUGUCAUUGUUUUUCGAUGUUUUUAAUACCAUUUUCCACAAGAUUGUUUUGAAUUUCCACUGUCCUUUUUUGUUACAUUAAUCGUAUUUUUUUUACUAUGUUCCCAGAGAUAAAUACUGAUGAUACUACUAUAUUUUUUUUAAUUGACCAACUUGGGGUGCCUGGGUGGCCCAGUCAGUUAAGUGUCCCACUCUUGAUCUCAGCUAAGUUCUUGAUCUCAGGGUGGUGAGUUCAAGUGCCACACUGGGCUCCAUGCUGGGCAUGGAGCCUACUUAAAAAAAGGGGGGGGACAACUAUUUCCCUCCUUGAAAUUCUAUUUUAUAAACUUCAUCAUACAACAAGAACAACCCUUUAAAGUGGAUUUGCUUCUCCACCCCUUUAGUCUCUCAUCCCACUGACAUCUUUAAAACACACUCAUAGGCCUCUUUCUCUGCCCUGCCCCAAACAACUCUGUUUUCUUAAAGUAAAUUAGUACUUAUUAGGAUUUCCUUUAGAAAUUGUCUCUUUGUUUGAAGAGUUGUCAUUUGUACUUGUUUUCCUAAGAUGUUUACUGUUAUCCUUCACACACACACACACACACACACACACACACACACACACCACUUGCCAGGUUUGUUUUCCACUAUUUCCUUCUUUUUCCAGUCUCCCAUCUGAAAGUCUCUGUUCUGUUGAUUUGUUUUUACAUUCUUUUAACUUUUUAUUGGGGUAUUAUAACAUCCGGCAACACACAAAUCAAGAGUGAACAAUUUGAUGACUGUUCACAAAGUUAACACCCUCACGUAACCUUCACCAUGUUAGGAAAUAAAAUCUUGCCUGCACUCCAGAAGCUCCACUCAUGUCCCUGCCAAUCUUUACUCCCUUCCUUCACCCAGAAAGAGCCACCAUGCUGACUUUCCAACACAUGGUUUACCUGAUUUCGGAUUUCUAUCAAAGGAAUGGGGCAAUGUUAAUUUCUUUGAGUCUGGCCUCUUUCACUCAACAUUAUAUUUGUGAGAUUGAGCCAUGUAGCUCUAGUUCAUUAAUUUAAAUUAAUAAAUAGCAUUUCCUCAUAUGAAUUACCAUAAUUUAUUUGUCCAUUCCACUCCUGAUGGACAUU